rnacentral:rRNA from 1 species
AUACGAAGGGGGCUAGCGUUGUUCGGAAUUACUGGGCGUAAAGCGCGCGUAGGCGGAUUGGUCAGUUAGGGGUGAAAUCCCAGGGCUUAACCCUGGAACUGCCUCCAAUACUGUCAGUCUUGAGUUCGGGAGAGGUGAGUGGAAUUCCUAGUGUAGAGGUGAAAUUCGUAGAUAUUAGGAAGAACACCAGUGGCGAAGGCGGCUCACUGGCCCGAUACUGACGCUGAGGCGCGAAAGCGUGGGGAGCAAACAGGAUUAGAAACCCCUGUAGUCC